UACGAAGGGGGCUAGCGUUGCUCGGAAUCACUGGGCGUAAAGCGCACGUAGGCGGCUUUCUAAGUCAGGGGUGAAAUCCUGGAGCUCAACUCCAGAACUGCCUUUGAUACUGGGAGCUCGAGUCCGGAAGAGGUGAGUGGAACUCCGAGUGUAGAGGUGAAAUUCGUAGAUAUUAGGAAGAACACCAGUGGCGAAGGCGGCUCACUGGCCCGGUACUGACGCUGAGGCGGCGAAAGCGUGGGGAGCAAACAGG
rnacentral:rRNA from 1 species